GGGCCCUUAGCUCAUUUGGCUAGAGCGCACGCAUGGCAUGCGUGAGGUGGCGGGUUCAAAUCCCGCAGGGUCCA
rnacentral:tRNA from 1 species